UACGUAGGGGGCAAGCGUUGUCCGGAAUCAUUGGGCGUAAAGCGCGUGUAGGCGGUUCGGUAAGUCUGCUGUGAAAGUCCAGGGCUCAACCCUGGGAUGCCGGUGGAUACUGUCGGACUAGAGUACGGAAGAGGCGAGUGGAAUUCCCGGUGUAGCGGUGAAAUGCGGCAGAGUAUCGGGAGGAACACCAAUUGCGAAGGCAGCUCGCUGGGACGUUACUGACGCUGAGACGCGAAAGCGUGGGGAGCAACAG
rnacentral:rRNA from 1 species